GACGAACGCUGGCGGCGUGCUUAACACAUGCAAGUCGAGCGGAGCGGCGAACGGGAGAGUAACGCGUGAGUAACUGGCCCCCUCUCUGGGAUAAGAGUUGGAAACGGCUGCUAAUACCGGAUAGAGGGGUAUGACUCGCUGCAUAUCAGCUUGUUGGUGGGGUAGUGGCCUAGCAAGGGGACGACGGGUAGCCGGCCUGAGAUGGCGACCGGCCACAUUGUGCUGAGAUACGGCCCAAACUCCUACGGGGGGCAGCAGUGGGGAAUAUUGCACAAUGGGGGAAACCCUGAUGCAGCAUCGCCGCUUGCGGGAUGACGGCCUUCGGGUUGUAAACCGCGUUCAGCCAUGACGCGGUAGUGGCAGAAGAAGCACCGGCUAACUACGUGCCAGCAGCCGCGGUAAUAC
rnacentral:rRNA from 1 species